AGAGUUUGAUCCUGGCUCAGGACGGACGCUGGCGGCGUGCUUAACACAUGCAAGUCGAACGGAAAGGCCCUUCGGGGUACUCGAGUGGCGAACGGGUGAGUAACACGUGGGUGAUCUGCCCUGCACUUUGGGAUAAGCCUGGGAAACUGGGUCUAAUACCGAAUAGGACCACGCGCUUCAUGGUGUGUGGUGGAAAGCUUUUGCGGUGUGGGAUGGGCCCGCGGCCUAUCAGCUUGUUGGUGGGGUAAUGGCCUACCAAGGCGACGACGGGUAGCCGGCCUGAGAGGGUGACCGGCCACACUGGGACUGAGAUACGGCCCAGACUCCUACGGGAGGCAGCAGUGGGGAAUAUUGCACAAUGGGCGCAAGCCUGAUGCAGCGACGCCGCGUGAGGGAUGACGGCCUUCGGGUUGUAAACCUCUUUCAAUAGGGACGAAGCGCAAGUGACGGUACCUAUAGAAGAAGCACCGGCCAACUACGUGCCAGCAGCCGCGGUAAUACGUAGGGUGCGAGCGUUGUCCGGAAUUACUGGGCGUAAAGAGCUCGUAGGUGGUUUGUCGCGUUGUUCGUGAAAACUCACAGCUUAACUGUGGGCGUGCGGGCGAUACGGGCAGACUAGAGUACUGCAGGGGAGACUGGAAUUCCUGGUGUAGCGGUGGAAUGCGCAGAUAUCAGGAGGAACACCGGUGGCGAAGGCGGGUCUCUGGGCAGUAACUGACGCUGAGGAGCGAAAGCGUGGGGAGCGAACAGGAUUAGAUACCCUGGUAGUCCAA
rnacentral:rRNA from 1 species